rnacentral:rRNA from 1 species
AGAGGGUGAGACUCCCGUCCGCCUGGUAGAAUGAGUCUUUGUCAACGAGUCGAGUUGUUUGGGAUUGCAGCUCUAAUUUGGUGGUAAAUUCCAUCUAAAGCUAAAUAUUGGUGGGAGACCGAUAGCGUACAAGUACCGUGAGGGAAAGAUGCAAAGAACUUUGAAAAGAGAGUUAAAGAGUACCUGAAAUUGCUGAAACGGAAGCGAAGGAAACCAGUGUUUGUUGGUUCAUAUUUCCCUGGCCACUUGUGGUUUGGGCGCUGUGAGCUUGCGUGGGUUUGCUUUGGUUGAUCCCUUUGGAAGAGCGCAGUCAGAGUUGAUGUCUGUUGCUAGCACUGGGUUUGGCUAAUGCAGACGAAAUGGUUUUCUUUACCCCGUCUUG